rnacentral:rRNA from 1 species
UGGGGAAUAUUGCACAAUGGGGGAAACCCUGAUGCAGCAACGCCGCGUGAGUGAUGACGGCCUUCGGGUUGUAAAGCUCUGUCUUCAGGGACGAUAAUGACGGUACUUGAGGAGGAAGCCACGGCUAACUACGUGCCAGCAGCCGCGGUAAUACGUAGGUGGCGAGCGUUGUCCGGAUUUACUGGGCGUAAAGGGAGCGUAGGCGGACUUUUAAGUGAGACGUGAAAUACCCGGGCUCAACUUGGGUGCUGCAUUUCAAACUGGAAGUCUAGAGUGCAGGAGAAGAGAAUGGAAUUCCUAGUGUAGCGGUGAAAUGCGUAGAGAUUAGGGGGAGCACCAGUUGCGAAGGCGACUUUCUGGACUGUACCUGCCGCUGAAGCUCGAGAGUGCGGGUAUCGAACA